ACUGAACGCUGGCGGCAUGCUUUACACAUGCAAGUCGAACGGCAGCACGGGUGCUUGCACCUGGUGGCGAGUGGCGAACGGGUGAGUAAUAUAUCGGAACGUGCCCUAGAGUGGAGGACAACCAGUCGAAAGAUUGGAUAAUACCGCAUACGAUCUAGGGAGGAAAGGGGGGGCCCUUCGGGCCUCAUGCUCCUGGAGCGGCCCAGAUCUGAUUAGCGAGUUGGUGGGGUAAAGGCCAACAAAGGCGACGAUCAGUAGCUGGUCGGAGAGGACGACCAGCCACACUGGGACUGAGCCACGGCCCAGACUCCUACGGGAGACAGCAGUGGGGAAUUUUGGACAAUGGGGGCAACCCUGAUCCAGCAAUGCCGCGUGAGUGAAGGAGGCCUUCGGGUUGUAAAGCUCUUUUGUCAGGGAAGAAAUUGCCUGGGUUAAUACCCUGGGUAGAUGACGGUACCUGAAGAAUAAGCACCGGCUAACUACGUGCCAGCAGCCGCCGUAA
rnacentral:rRNA from 1 species